rnacentral:rRNA from 1 species
AUACGGAGGGUGCAAGCGUUGUUCGGAAUCACUGGGCGUAAAGGGCGCGCAGGCGGUUUGGUAAGUCAGAUGUGAAAGCCCACGGCUCAACCGUGGAAGUGCAUUUGAAACUGUCAGCCUUGAGUACUAGAGGGGAAAGUGGAAUUCCCGGUGUAGAGGUGAAAUUCGUAGAUAUCGGGAGGAAUACCGGUGGCGAAGGCGACUUUCUGGCUAGAUACUGACGCUGAGGCGCGAAAGCGUGGGGAGCAAACAGGAUUAGAAACCCUAGUAGUCC